rnacentral:lncRNA from 1 species
CUCACACACUAUUUCUAUAUCUUUCAGGGCUUUUUUCCCCCUUUCUCCAGUAAACAGUAGUUUACAAUACAAGGUUUGACUGUAAUUUUCAUCAAAUUGCAACCUGUGCAGAAGAUCUGAACACCAAAAGCAAAAGCAAUAAAAGGGAACUUGAAGUGGACUUUGUUGGAGGAUAUUACCAAAAAGAACCCUGAUGUUUGCAAUUGCUCAGAAAGGUGCUACAGGCUGAGGCGCUGCUUGGAGGAGCUUGCCGCCUUCCCCAUCUGAAAAAGUCUGGACCACAGCUGAUGAAAAUCACAGCAGGCUGAAGGUCAGAGGAUUAGUCCUAAGCC